rnacentral:rRNA from 1 species
GUUGUUCGGAAUUACUGGGCGUAAAGGGCGCGCAGGCGGCCCUCCAAGUCAGGCGUGAAAGCCCCGGGCUCAACCCGGGAACAGCGCUUGAGACUGGGGGGCUUGAGUUCGGGAGAGGAGAGUGGAAUUCCCAGUGUAGAGGUGAAAUUCGUAGAUAUUGGGAAGAACACCGGUGGCGAAGGCGGCCUGCUGGGCAGUAGCUGACGCUGAGGCGCGACAGCGUGGGGAGCAAACAGG